rnacentral:rRNA from 1 species
GCUCAGGAUGAACGCUGGCGGCGUGCUAAUACAUGCAAGUCGAACGCUUUGUGGUUCAACUGAUUUGAAGAGCUUGCUCAGAUAUGACGAUGGACAUUGCAAAGAGUGGCGAACGGGUGAGUAACACGUGGGAAACCUACCUCUUAGCAGGGGAUAACAUUUGGAAACAGAUGCUAAUACCGUAUAACAAUGACAACCGCAUGGUUGUUAUUUAAAAGAUGGUUCUGCUAUCACUAAGAGAUGGUCCCGCGGUGCAUUAGCUAGUUGGUAAGGUAAUGGCUUACCAAGGCGAUGAUGCAUAGCCGAGUUGAGAGACUGAUCGGCCACAAUGGGACUGAGACACGGCCCAUACUCCUACGGGAGGCAGCAGUAGGGAAUCUUCCACAAUGGGCGAAAGCCUGAUGGAGCAACGCCGCGUGUGUGAUGAAGGGUUUCGGCUCGUAAAACACUGUUGUAAGAGAAGAAUGACAUUGAGAGUAACUGUUCAAUGUGUGACGGUAUCUUACCAGAAAGGAACGGCUAAAUACGUGCCAGCAGCCGCGGUAAUACGUAUGUUCCAAGCGUUAUCCGGAUUUAUUGGGCGUAAAGCGAGCGCAGACGGUUAUUUAAGUCUGAAGUGAAAGCCCUCAGCUCAACUGAGGAAUUGCUUUGGAAACUGGAUGACUUGAGUGCAGUAGAGGAAAGUGGAACUCCAUGUGUAGCGGUGAAAUGCGUAGAUAUAUGGAAGAACACCAGUGGCGAAGGCGGCUUUCUGGACUGUAACUGACGUUGAGGCUCGAAAGUGUGGGUAGCAAACAGGAUUAGAUACCCUGGUAGUCCACACCGUAAACGAUGAGUGCUAGGUGUUUGAGGGUUUCCGCCCUUAAGUGCCGCAGCUAACGCAUUAAGCACUCCGCCUGGGGAGUACGACCGCAAGGUUGAAACUCAAAGGAAUUGACGGGGACCCGCACAAGCGGUGGAGCAUGUGGUUUAAUUCGAAGCAACGCGAAGAACCUUACCAGGUCUUGACAUCCCUUGACAACUCCAGAGAUGGAGUGUUCCCUUCGGGGACAAGGUGACAGGUGGUGCAUGGUUGUCGUCAGCUCGUGUCGUGAGAUGUUGGGUUAAGUCCCGCAACGAGCGCAACCCUUAUUACUAGUUGCCAGCAUUCAGUUGGGCACUCUAGUGAGACUGCCGGUGACAAACCGGAGGAAGGUGGGGAUGACGUCAAAUCAUCAUGCCCCUUAUGACCUGGGCUACACACGUGCUACAAUGGCGUAUACAACGAGUUGCCAACCCGCGAGGGUGAGCUAAUCUCUUAAAGUACGUCUCAGUUCGGAUUGUAGGCUGCAACUCGCCUACAUGAAGUCGGAAUCGCUAGUAAUCGCGGAUCAGCACGCCGCGGUGAAUACGUUCCCGGGUCUUGUACACACCGCCCGUCACACCAUGAGAGUUUGUAACACCCAAAGCCGGUGGGGUAACCUUCGGGAGCCAGCCGUCUAAGGUGGGACAGAUGAUUAGGGUGAAGUC